rnacentral:rRNA from 1 species
GACGAACGCUGGCGGCGUGCUUAACACAUGCAAGUCGAACGGAAAGGCCCUGCUUUUUUGUUUUUCUCGUUUGGCGAACGUGUGUGUAUCACGUGUGUAUCCUCCCCUUUUCUUUGUUAUAUCUUCUUGUAACUGGGUCUAUUACCGUAUAGUAUCUCCUUCUCCUUGUUGUGUUUUGGAUAUUUUCGGCGGUUGGGUAUGUACUCGCUGCUUAUCAGCUUGUUGGUGGUUUAGUGGCUUACCAAGGUUUUGACGGGUAGCCGGCCUGAGAGGGUUAACGGGGAAAUUGGGACUGAGAGACGGACCAGACUGCUACGGGAGGCAGCAGUGGGAAAGAUGACACAAUGGGCGGAAGCGUGAUGCAGAAACGCGGCGAGCGGGAUGACGGCCUACGGGUUGUAAACAGCUUUGGAAUGAGAAGAAGAGUGAGUGACGGUAAUGGGUAAAGAAGCAACGGCUAACUACGUG